rnacentral:rRNA from 1 species
UACGUAGGGGGCGAGCGUUAUCCGGAUUUAUAGGGCGUAAAGGGUGCGUAGGCGGCCUUACAAGUCUGAGUUGAAAGCCCACGGCUUAACCGUGGAGGGUGCUCGGAAACUGUAAGGCUUGAAUCCAGAAGAGGCAAGUAGAAUUCUAUGUGGAGCGGUGGAAUGCGUAGAUAUAUGGAGGAAUACCAGUGGCGAAGGCGCCUUGCUGGUCUGGGAUUGACGCUGAGGCACGAAAGCGUGGGGAGCAAACAGG